UUGUGCCUUGUUCAAGCGAAGGAUGAAAAUACCCUGUGGGCAUGGAGACGGGGUCAUGGGACUCCCAAAAGGAUUACCUUGAACUGGAGUCAUGAGACUUGGGCGAACAAAGACCCUGCUCACAUGCUCAUCAUAUUAAGUGGGCCUCAUAAAGUGAAGAAGUUUCAUGUCCUGUGGGAUUCAAUGAGAGCACUCGACUGGGAGUGCAGCACCAAGAGAAGGCUCUGGUAGAGGAGCAGCUGACUGCAGACGUCCUCUCUACUCUGUAGGCUUAAUCUCCAGCAGCACUAGAGACAGGACCCCACAGCUUGGACAGAAGAUUGUGCGCACAAAAAGCUUGGGUUGAGAGGAACUUUUGUAAAAGAGAAUGCAUUCACAUAUUUCCCACCAAGGACCCGACCAGAUGUGCCUGUGGUCAGCUGACAACACAGCACGUGGCCAUCCCUCCUGGUGCCAACU